rnacentral:rRNA from 1 species
CCGGCUAANUACGUGCCAGCAGCCGCGGUAAUACGUAGGGUGCGAGCGUUGUCCGGAAUUACUGGGCGUAAAGAGNUCGUAGGUGGUUUGUUGCGUCGUCUGUGAAAUUCCGGGGCUUAACUUCGGGGUGGCAGGCGAUACGGGCAUAACUAGAGUGCUGUAGGGGAGACUGGAAUUCCUGGUGUAGCGGUGGAAUGCGCAGAUAUCAGGAGGAACACCGAUGGUGAAGGCAGGUCUCUGGGCAGUAACUGACGCUGAGGAGCGAAAGCAUGGGGAGCGAACAGGAUUAGAUACCCUGGUAGUCCAUGCUGUAAACGGUGGGCGUUAGGUGUGGGGACCGGUUUGGUUUCUGUGCCGUAGCUAACGCAUUAAGCGCCCCGCCUGGGGAGUACGGCCGCAAGGCUAAAACUCAAAGGAAUUGACGGGGGCCCGCACAAGCGGCGGAGCAUGUGGAUUAAUUCGAUGCAACGCGAAGAACCUUACCUGGGUUUGACAUGCACCAGACGGUUGUAGAGAUACGUACCUCCCUUUGUGGUUGGUGUGCAGGUGGUGCAUGGUUGUCGUCAGCUCGUGUCGUGAGAUGUUGGGUUAAGUCCCGCAACGAGCGCAACCCUUGUCUUAUGUUGCCAGCACGUUUAGGGUGGGGACUCAUGAGAGACUGCCGGGGUUAACUCGGAGGAAGGUGGGGAUGACGUCAAAUCAUCAUGCCCUUUAUGCCCAGGGCUUCACACAUGCUACAAUGGUUAGUACAACGCGCUGCGAACCUGUGAGGGUGAGCGAAUCGCUGAAAGCUAAUCUCAGUUCGGAUUGGGGUCUGCAACUCGACCCCAUGAAGUCGGAGUCGCUAGUAAUCGCAGAUCAGCAAUGCUGCGGUGAAUACGUUCCCGGGCCUUGUACACACCGCCCGUCACGUCAUGAAAGUUGGUAACACCCGAAGCCCAUGGCCUAACCACCAUUUUUUGGUG